AAGAACACGUUUGGUAAACACAUUUUUUCUUCGUUUUCCUACCCAAAAUGGAAAAAAAAUAACAGUUCAGGAACUUCUAUUUACUAUAGGAUUAUACAUCCGUUUUUUUUUUAACAAAACAAAACCGAAGCAAACAGAGAACCUCUAUAGAAAGAGAGGUCCAAAUCUUCACUUCCUUCACCCUUAACUCCAAUUUAGCUAACGAGUCAGCCACCUUGUUAAAUUAUCUAGAGACAUGUUGGAAGAUAACCUUCCAAUUUUGUUGUAUUAAGAUUCUUGCUCCAGUCAGAUACUCUACGCAAGAGUGGAGUUUAAUUUGGGAGAAUCAUUGUGGUUGAGGCCAUUGAUGAGGUCUAACCAUUCGAACUUGCACACGAGUACACGCACCAACACGCGAAGCCAACAUAAGACCCUGGAUAACAAUCAGAAGCUCAGCAAAAUUCCAUUGUGAAUCCCUUACUAUAACUUCCAUCAGUAUUUAAUUUUAACCAUCCAACUAUGGGCGUUGUCCAUCCUCCAUUGCUCUGAAUCUACAAAUUGACAUCAUCAACAAGACCAUGAAUCUACGGGGCCAAAUUUUAGUACUCACCAUCAUGUUAUUCCCCCAUCUCCAUGUCCACCACAAAUGAUGAAGGAACCAUUUCGCUUUAUAGUUUCUAAUGAUUGUUCUGUCAAAAAAAAGUUUCUAAUCAAUCUCAGCUAUUCAGAGUAAAAAACAAAGGGAAGAGAUCGUAGUCAGACCUAAUCCAAACCUCUUCAGAGUGAUGAGGGCAAUCCCUCAAUCAAUUAAGGAUAUCUGUAGCAAGAUGAGAGCAUUGGGUACAGGCUGGAGAAGUCGCAAUGUUACAAUAAAAAUUUAACGAUGUGCAUUUGAGGGUAAGACUUGAUGCAAGGCUAGCUAAAGGAGAAACUUAUAUAUCUCUGUCUUUAGAGCUUCC
rnacentral:lncRNA from 1 species